rnacentral:rRNA from 1 species
UACGUAGGGUGCGAGCGUUAAUCGGAAUUACUGGGCGUAAAGCGUGCGCAGGCGGUUUUGUAAGCCAGAUGUGAAAUCCCCGGGCUUAACCUGGGAACUGCAUUUGUGACUGCAUCGCUGGAGUGCGGCAGAGGGGGAUGGAAUUCCGCGUGUAGCAGUGAAAUGCGUAGAUAUGCGGAGGAACACCGAUGGCGAAGGCAAUCCCCUGGGCCUGCACUGACGCUCAGUGCACGAAAGCGUGGGGAGCAAACAGG